GUGCUAUUUUAUUUAAAUGUUUUUCAACAUUAUUCAAAGGUUGAUUGUUGUCAUCCCGUCUCCUCAAUUCAACCAUCAUUAACAUUUUGUCUUAUUUGCUUAACAGUGUGUCCUUUUCUAUUGCUAAACCCAUUCAGUUGCAGAUAGCCUAUAGCUCAGAAAAGUAUCAUUCUCCUACAUAAAGUGGGAUUAUAGCAACUGAGAAAAUUAACAGUAAAUACCUAAGUUAUCUAGUCCAUAUUCAAUUUUGUGUUUAUUUUUAAAGGUACAACAAUCUACCUAGAUAUCAGAUGCAAGCUAAAUAUUUUGGUAGUGCCUCUCCAACUACCUGUUCUGUUUGUUUUUAAAGUUUUGACAUCCAUACUUUUGUAAAAUAGGAAAACAUGAAUUGCUAGAAAAAUGGUAUUAAAAGAUAAAUGCAAUAAAAGUCCAAAAGUUCAGGUAGGCAUUUUAACUCUGCCUUUUUCUUUUUCUUUUUUGAAACAAACAAAUGUGGUUCCCUUCCCUCCGGCUAAUAUUUACCUUAGCAACCUUUGGAGCGCUAUGGAAGGCUCCUGUCCGAUAUAUUCUUCGUGCUAUCUUCCGAACAAGCUCAUUUACUAAGAAAUUGUCAAUGGCUCUCCCCUCUUUUAUGGACACAUUUCAUUCUCCUUCCAUAGACCUUUGAAACCUUCCAUGUAUAAAGCUCAAAUUCGCCUUCCAGAUUCAUUUUCAAUCACUUUCUCUUUCAGAGGUGCAUCACAUGGCCCCUGUCCCAUCUGAAACUACCCCAUCUUUGAGGCCCUAAGAUGACUUUCCCCAUUACUAAAACCCAUCUCUGUGCCUUCUGGAAUGUCUAGAAACACUUCUAACAUUUCUAAAGUCUUGGAAGACACGUUUGGGAGUCCAGCCUCUUUCAUCUGUGUCUUGCCCUGAAGCUGAUUAUGCUGCUUUGAUCCCAUUGGUGCUCCUUAACUGUUGUUGAUGGAUUGGUUAGCUUUUUCUGAACUGCACAUCUGGUGUGUCACGUUCCCUGCAAACCUUUCAAUGGCUCUUAGGCGGAAGUCCUGGGUUCUUAAGUGGCUCACAAGGGCCUCUAUAGAAUGGGUCUUGCUGAUCUUUUCAGCUGUCUCUGCAGUGCUCCAGCCACAGUACAGCUCGUUUUCAGUUCCUGCAAUGUGCUCUCUGCUGGCCUUUGCCUACCACACUUACUGUUCUUUGAUAGGCCAAGGUUGCAGGUUUAGUCCGCAGGUAGGGCACAUAUAAAUCAACCAAUGAAUGCAUAAGUAAUUAAAAUAACAAAUUGAUGUUUUUGUUUCUCUAUAUAUACCUCUGUCUUCUGUCCCCCGCCUCUCCCCCUCUACCCACUCUCCAAAAAUCAAUAAAUAAAAAAAAUCAAAUUAAAUAAAAAAAGAAUUUAUUAUAAUAGGAUACAAAAUUGAUACAUGAAAAGCAAUAUCCUUCAUGUACACGAACAACAAUUAGAGGACAUAAUGGUAGAGAAAAUCCCAUUUACAGUAGUCAAAAAGGUUAAAUAUUUAGGAAUAAACUUAAUAAGAAAUGUGUAAAAUUUAGGAAACACAAAUAAGGAAAAUUUCAAAACACUCCUGAAAGACUCAAAAAAAAAAAAAAAAGACUUGAAAAA